rnacentral:rRNA from 1 species
UAAAGCGUGCGCAGGCGGUUAUGUAAGACAGAUGUGAAAUCCCCGGGCUCAACCUGGGAACUGCAUUAGUGACUGCAUAGCUGGAGUACGGCAGAGGGGGAUGGAAUUCCGCGUGUAGCAGUGAAAUGCGUAGAUAUGCGGAGGAACACCGAUGGCGAAGGCAAUCCCCUGGGCCUGUACUGACGCUCAUGCACGAAAGCGUGGGGAGCAAACAGGAUUAGAACCCUAGU